GACGAACGCUGGCGGCGUGCUUAACACAUGCAAGUCGAACGGAAAGGCCCUGCUUUUGUGUGGUGCUCGAGUCGCGAACGGGUGAGUAACCCGGGAGUAACCUGCCCUUGGCUGUGUGAUAACUUCAGGAAACUGCGGCUAAUACCGGCUAGGAGCUCCUGCUGCAUGGGGGGGGUCGGAAAGUUUCGGCGGUUGGGGAUCGACGCGCGGCUAAUCAGCUUGUUGGUUGGGGAGUUGCUUACCAAGUCUUCGACGGGUAGCCGGCCUGGGAGCGUGACCAGCGACAUGGGGACUGAGAUAGGGCCCAGUGUCGUACGGGAGGCAGCAGUGGGGAGUAUUGCACAAUGGGCGGGAGCCUGAUGCAGCAACGCCGCGUGCGUGAUGACGGCCUUGGGGGUGUAAACCGCUUUCGGCUGUUACGAAGCGUGAGUGACGUUAAUGGCUAAAGAAGCACCGGCUAACUACGUG
rnacentral:rRNA from 1 species